UCUCCGUUGGUGAACCAGCGGAGGGAUCAUUACCGAGUUUACAGCUCCCAAACCCAAUGUGAACCAUACCAAACUGUUGCCUCGGCGGGGUCACGCCCCGGGUGCGUCGCAGCCCCGGAACCAGGCGCCCGCCGGAGGGACCAACCAAACUCUUUCUGUAGUCCCCUCGCGGACGUUAUUUUUACAGCUCUGAGCAAAAAUUCAAAAUGAAUCAAAACUUUCAACAACGGAUCUCUUGGUUCUG
rnacentral:misc_RNA from 1 species